rnacentral:rRNA from 1 species
CACGUACACAACCUUCCUUUUAGUGGGGAAUAGCCCAGAGAAAUUUGGAUUAAUACCCCGUAAUAUAGAGAUGUGGCAUCACAAUUCUAUUAUAGGUUACCGCUAGAAGAUGGGUGUGCGGCUGAUUAGAUAGUUGGCAGGGUAACGGCCUACCAAGUCUACGAUCAGUAGCUGAUGUGAGAGCAUGAUCAGCCACACGGGCACUGAGACACGGGCCCGACUCCUACGGGAGGCAGCAGUAAGGAAUAUUGGACAAUGGACGCAAGUCUGAUCCAGCCAUGCCGCGUGAAGGAUGAAGGUCCUCUGGAUUGUAAACUUCUUUUAUAUGAGACGAAAAAAGGGAAUUCUUUCCCUCUUGACGGUACUGUAUGAAUAAGCACCGGCUAACUCCGUGCCAGCAGCCGCGGUAAUACGGAGGGUGCAAGCGUUAUCCGGAUUCACUGGGUUUAAAGGGUGCGUAGGCGGGUAUGUAAGUCAGUGGUGAAAUCCUGGAGCUUAACUCCGGAACUGCCAUUGAUACUAUAUAUCUUGAAUAUUGUGGAGGUUUGCGGAAUAUGUCAUGUAGCGGUGAAAUGCAUAGAUAUGACAUAGAACACCUAUUGCGAAGGCAGCAGGCUACACAUAUAUUGACGCU